GGGCGGUUAGUCCAAAAAAGAUACUUGAUUUCGGCUCAAGAGAUUGAAGUUAAAGUCUUCAACCACCCU
rnacentral:tRNA from 2 species